UACGAAGGGGGGCUAGCGUUGCUCGGAAUCACUGGGCGUAAAGCGCACGUAGGCGGAUCUUUAAGUCAGGGGUGAAAUCCCAAGGCUCAACCUUGGAACUGCCUUUGAUACUGGGGGAUCUCGAGUCCGGAAGAGGUGAGUGGAACUGCGAGUGUAGAGGUGAAAUUCGUAGAUAUUCGCAAGAACACCAGUGGCGAAGGCGGCUCACUGGCCCGAUACUGACGCUGAGGCACGAAAGCGUGGGGAGCAAACAGG
rnacentral:rRNA from 1 species